UCCGCCGUGGCGUAAUCGGAAACGCAGCGGGUUUUGGUCCCGAAGAUUCUAGGUUCGAAUCCUAGCGGCGGAG
rnacentral:tRNA from 1 species